rnacentral:rRNA from 1 species
CCUACGGGGGGCAGCAGUGGGGAAUAUUGGACAAUGGGCGAAAGCCUGAUCCAGCCAUGCUGCGUGUGUGAAGAAGGCCUUCGGGUUGUAAAGCACUUUCAGUGGGGAAGAAAGCCUUGGGGCUAAUACCCUCGAGGAAGGACAUCACCCACAGAAGAAGCACCGGCUAACUCCGUGCCAGCAGCCGCGGUAAUACGGAGGGUGCGAGCGUUAAUCGGAAUUACUGGGCGUAAAGCGCGCGUAGGCGGUCUGAUAAGCCGGUUGUGAAAGCCCCGGGCUCAACCUGGGAACGGCAUCCGGAACUGUCAGGCUAGAGUGCAGGAGAGGAAGGUAGAAUUCCCGGUGUAGCGGUGAAAUGCGUAGAGAUCGGGAGGAAUACCAGUGGCGAAGGCGGCCUUCUGGACUGACACUGACGCUGAGGUGCGAAAGCGUGGGUAGCAAACAGGAUUAGAUACCCGAGUAGUC